GUGCACCAGUCGAGAAAACUUCACAAUGUGCGAAAGCACGAUGAGGGGAAUCCCCAAGUGCUUGCACGUAAGUGUAAGCUGUUUCUCUGUCUAAAACGCAGAGAGAGUAAGGGCUGGGGUAAGACGGGUGCCAGCCGCCGCGGUAAUACCUGCAGCUCGAGUGGUGACCGUUAUUAUUGGGCCUAAAACGUCCGUAGCCGGUUUAAUAAAUGCCUGGGUAAAUCGGACCGCUUAACGGUUCGAAUUCCGGGUAGACUGUUAAACUUGAGACCGGGAGAAGUUAGAGGUACUCCUGGGGUAGAGGUGAAAUUCUGUAAUCCUAGGGGGACCACCAGUGGCGAAGGCGUCUAACUAGAACGGGUCUGACGGUGAGGGACGAAGCCCUGGGGCGC
rnacentral:rRNA from 1 species